GGGCCCAUGGUGAAGUUGGGAUCAUAUGUCCAUGGCAUGGAUAAGUCACCAGUUCGACUCUGGUUGGGUCCACCA
rnacentral:tRNA from 1 species